GACCUGGCGGCAGGCCUAACCAUGCAAGUCGAGCGCCCCACAGAUCCAGCUUGCUGGAUGCUGACGAGCGGCGGACGGGUGAGUAAUAGCAUAGGAAUCUGCCCGAUAGUGGGGGAUAACCUGGGGAAACCCAGGCUAAUACCGCAUACGUCCUACGGGAGAAAGGGGGCUCCGGCUCCCGCUAUGGGAUGAGCCUAUGUCGGAUUAGCUAGUUGGUGAGGUAACGGCUCACCAAGGCCACGAUCCGUAGCUGGUCUGAGAGGAUGAUCAGCCACAUCGGGACUGAGACACGGCCCGAACUCCUACGGGAGGCAGCAGUGGGGAAUAUUGGACAAUGGGGGAAACCCUGAUCCAGCCAUGCCGCGUGUGUGAAGAAGGCCCUCGGGUUGUAAAGCACUUUCAGCGAGGAAGAACGCCUAGCGGUUAAUACCCGCUAGGAAAGACAUCACUCGCAGAAGAAGCACCGGCUAACUCCGUGCCAGCAGCCGCGGUAAUACGGAGGG
rnacentral:rRNA from 1 species